rnacentral:rRNA from 1 species
AAAAUCUAUAUGAAAAAAUUAUAUAUAUAAAUAAAUUUUUUAUGAUUUAUUGAAUUUAAUUUAAAUUUAUUUUACAUGUAAAUUUUAGUGUUAAUUUUUAAUUAUUUUGAUAAUAAUUAUUAAUAUUUGCAGUAAUUAAUAUUAAAAAUUUAAGAAAUUAAGAUUUAGUAAUAUUUAAUUUAUUAACAAAUUUUGUGCCAGCAGUUGCGGUUAUACAAAAAAUAAUUUAAAUUUUAUCAGUAUAUAAUGAAUAAAAAUUAUUAAUUAAAUUAAAUAUUAAAUUAUUAAGUGAAAUUUUAAUUUAAUUAAAAUUUAUAUUAAUUUUAUGAUUUAUUAAAUUUUAUAAAAAACUAGGAUUAGAUACCCUAUUAUUAAAAAUUAAAUUUAUAAUACUAAAAUAGUAGAUAAUAAUUUAUUGAAACUUAAAUAAUUUGGCGGUAUUUUAGUUCAUUUAGAGGAAUCUGUUUAAUAAUUGAUAAUCCACGAAUAAAUUUACUUAAUUUAAUAUUUUGUAUAUCGUUGUUAAAUAAAUAUUUUUUAAUAGAAAUAAUAUUUUAAAAUUUUUAUAUAAAAUUAGUUCAGAUCAAGAUGCAGAUUAUAAUUAAGAAUAUAAUGGAUUACAAUAAAUAAAUUUAAAUGAAUAACAUUUUUUAAUAAAUGUUUGAAGGUGGAUUUAAAUGUAAUUUUAAUUAAUUUAUUAAAAUGAUUAUAAAUUAAAAUAUGUACAUAUUGCCCGUCACUUUCAUUAAUAAAUUGGAAUAAGUCGUAACAAAGUAGAGGUACUGGAAAGUGUUUCUAGAAAGAA